UAGCAUACGUGCUGUACCAAAAUGUGGA
rnacentral:sRNA from 1 species